rnacentral:rRNA from 1 species
UAAGCAUAUCAAUAAGCGGAGGAAAAGAAACUAACAAGGAUUCCCCUAGUAACUGCGAGUGAAGCGGGAAAAGCUCAAAUUUAAAAUCUGGCAGUCUUUGGCUGUCCGAGUUGUAAUCUAGAGAAGCGACAUCCGCGCUGGACCGUGUACAAGUCUCCUGGAAUGGAGCGUCAUAGAGGGUGAGAAUCCCGUCUUUGACACGGACUGCCAGGGCUUUGUGAUGCGCUCUCAAAGAGUCGAGUUGUUUGGGAAUGCAGCUCAAAAUGGGUGGUAAAUUCCAUCUAAAGCUAAAUAUUGGCGAGAGACCGAUAGCGAACAAGUACCGUGAGGGAAAGAUGAAAAGAACUUUGGAAAGAGAGUUAAACAGUACGUGAAAUUGCUGAAAGGGAAACGCUUGAAGUCAGUCGCAUUGUCCAGGGAUCAACCUUGCUUUUGCUUGGUUUACUUUCUGGUUGAUGGGUCAGCAUCAAUUUUGACUAUUGGAAAAAGGUCAGGGGAAUGUGGCAUCCUUGGAUGUGUUAUAGCCCUUGGUUGUAUACAAUGGUUGGGAUUGAGGAACUCAGCACGCCGCAAGGCCGGGUUUUAAACCACGUACGUGCUUAGGAUGCUGGCAUAAUGGCUUUAAUCGACCCGUCUUGAAACACGGACCAAGGAGUCUAACAUACCUGCGAGUGUUUGGGUGGAAAACUCGAGCGCGUAAUGAAAGUGAAAGUUGAGAUCCCUGUCGUGGGGAGCAUCGACGCCCGGACCAGACCUUUUGUGACGGCUCCGCGGUAGAGCAUGUAUGUUGGGACCCGAAAGAUGGUGAACUAUGCCUGAAUAGGGUGAAGCCAGAGGAAACUCUGGUGGAGGCUCGUAGCGAUUCUGACGUGCAAAUCGAUCGUCAAAUUUGGGUAUAGGGGCGAAAGACUAAUCGAACCAUCUAGUAAGCUGGUUCCUGCCGA